rnacentral:lncRNA from 1 species
GCAGAUAAGUAUCUAAUUCAUUCUUAGACCGAUACACUAAUUCAUAACUGUUAGUAUUUAAAGGUUGUGAAAGGAGUAGUUGAUAAGGUAGAGAAAAUGUAGAGAUAGUAGGAUGUAGAAGUAGUAGUUGGAAGAAGUGUAGUAGUUGUCUUAGUUGUUGUAGAUGUUGGCUUCUUAUUUUGCUUGCUUACAAAUGAUCCAAUCACCCCUAUUUAUACUAGUGGCACCUCCUUAACCAAUGGUUAGGAUCUUGCCACCACAACAUUAAUCUAAGGGUCAUUAUUCAUCUUCUAGAGUUUUCUAAAAUAUUCUUAUAAUUCUAAACUUAUCUAGAUAAAUCUAAUGGAUAAGCAUCCCUAGAUAUUUUUAUANAUCAUUCUAGAAUCCUUCUAGAUAGGAUAUUUCUAGAAUUCUAUUUUGGACCUUCUUUAGUUUUGGGCCUUCACUAGUCUUGGGCUUUUAUCUUUUAGGCCCAAUUUACAUUCUAACUCUUUUUUCCUAGGAGCUUCUCCAUUCUUCUAGAAUUUGCAUUACACUUUAACAAUAACACUCAUCCUCAAAGACCAACACCCCUGACUUGACGCAAAGACCCUAAAGUUACUCAUCUUAAGGUUUGUUCUGCUUCUGCACCACUAACUAUAACGUCAAAGCCAAAUGUGGGAAACACCAAAUCUCCCCAUCUUUAACCCAUUAAUUUCAAGAAACAAAAAGAAUACCUACAAAGAGGAUCCAACAAAGGAAAACAAGCAGGAGAGAGGCGAACGAGAAAGACAAAGAUAAAGAGACAUAACUGACAGCAAUGUUUUGGAGGGAUAGUCGAAGACGAAGUUAGGGACAUGGAAUCAUUGGAGAUUUAGGAGAUUCGGAAAUCACUGGUCAUAUUGGGGGAUUGGGAGAAUUAUAAAGGAUCGUGAUAUUAUAAGAACGCAGUUUUGACAACAAAUUAUAAAUGCAUAUGAAUGAAUCGCAAUUUGGGGGAAGGAAGCAGCUUCAAAGGCAGAAGAGACGGGAAGGAAGGAUGUUGUGGUGUCAAAAUCUUACAAACUUUUUUUUUUUCAAAUUUUAUUUUAGGUUUAACUUUAAUUAUGUAUCAUUUAAUUAUCGAUGAUAUAUAGCUAUUAAAUUUUCAUAAUUCUUAAUAUUUUAAAUAUUUAUUGUAACAUG